GGAGGAUCCGAGCGUUAUCCGGAUUUAUUGGGUUUAAAGGGAGCGUAGGCGGAUUGUUAAGUCAGUUGUGAAAGUUUGCGGCUCAACCGUAAAAUUGCAGUUGAUACUGGCAGUCUUGAGUGCAGUAGAGGUGGGCGGAAUUCGUGGUGUAGCGGUGAAAUGCUUAGAUAUCACGAAGAACUCCGAUUGCGAAGGCAGCUCACUGGAGUGUAACUGACGCUGAUGCUCGAAAGUGUGGGUAUCAAACAGGAUUAGAUACCCUGGUAGUCCACGCCGUAAACGAUGAGCACUAGGUGUCGGGGCCGCAGGGCUUCGGUGCCGCAGUUAACGCAUUAAGUGCUCCGCCUGGGGAGU
rnacentral:rRNA from 1 species